AAAAAAAAGGAGAUACGGUGGAUGGGCCUUUCAAAUUACAGAUAUGAAAAGCUAAAGAAGUUGGAGGAAGUUCGCAAAGAACUCGUCAACAAGAUUAGGCACAAGAAGGCACUCCUCCAGGAAAUCGAAAAACAGUUUGAUGAUCUCCAGAACAUCAAGU